GCAUCAAAUUAGACAUGGAAAUCGCUCUGAGUCACGAUUACCAAGAGGCUCCGACUUGACUUCUCGCAAGGCAGUUUCCUCAGAUGCUGCUCAGGAGCAAGAGACCCAGUGCUCUGCAAGGUUAACUGGACUUUCGAAAGAGAAUAUUUUUUCAACCAACACAGAGGCACGAGGCUUUGUUCUAGAGUGUGAGGACUCAGUGUUGUGUAGGAGAACUGCCACCGUUCCCGUCUUGGCUGCCAACUGCUGUGUCCCAAGGAAGAUUGGGAUUCAUUUGCUGCCACCCAUUGGAUCCUCUGCAGAUUCUACCUGAGAGGAAACAGCUGCCUUAAUUGGAUCCUCUGCAGAGUCUACCUGAGAGGAAACAGCUGCCUUGACUGGAAGUCCUGAGCAGCAAUAGCAAAUGCCACUGAGGGAAGCUUUGGGACCUUCUGGUUGGUGUCUGCACUGUGAGUUCUAGAAGAGCUGGAGCUUCAUGGAGAGCCUCGGGUGCCGAAUCAUAAGGCUCCGUAUCCCAA